ensembl:snRNA U6 U6 spliceosomal RNA
GUGCUUCCUUGGGUAUCACAUAUAAUGAAAUUGGAACAAGAUAGACAAGCAUGGCUUCUGUGCAAGUAUGACACGCAAAUUCAUGAAGCGUUCCAUGUUUUU